rnacentral:rRNA from 1 species
UACGUAGGGGGCGAGCGUUGUCCGGAAUUACUGGGCGUAAAGGGUGCGUAGGCGGCCCGAGAGGUCCUGGGUGAAAGGCCCCGGCUCAACCGGGGAGGGCCCCAGGAAACCGGCGGGCUAGAGGGCUGGAGAGGGCCGCGGAAUUCCCGGUGUAGCGGUGAAAUGCGCAGAGAUCAGGAGGAACACCCGUGGCGAAGGCGGCACUCUGGGCCGAUACUGACGCUGAGGAGCGAAAGCGUGGGGAGCAAACAGG